CCUACGGGAGGCAGCAGUGGGGAAUAUUGCACAAUGGGCGCAAGCCUGAUGCAGCCAUGCCGCGUGUGUGAAGAAGGCCUUCGGGUUGUAAAGCACUUUCAGCGGGGAGGAAGGCGGUGAGGUUAAUAACCUCAUCGAUUGACGUUACCCGCAGAAGAAGCACCGGCCAACUCCGUGCCAGCAGCCGCGGUAAUACGGAGGGUGCAAGCGUUAAUCGGAAUUACUGGGCGUAAAGCGCACGCAGGCGGUCUGUCAAGUCGGAUGUGAAAUCCCCGGGCUCAACCUGGGAACUGCAUUCGAAACUGGCAGGCUAGAGUCUUGUAGAGGGGGGUAGAAUUCCAGGUGUAGCGGUGAAAUGCGUAGAGAUCUGGAGGAAUACCGGUGGCGAAGGCGGCCCCCUGGACAAAAACUGACGCUCAGGUGCGAAAGCGUGGGGAGCAAACAGGAUUAGAUACCCGGGUAGUC
rnacentral:rRNA from 1 species